rnacentral:tRNA from 1 species
GGGCGGAUAGCUCAGUCGGUAGAGCACGUGACUGAAAAUCACGGUGUGGUCGGUUCGAUUCCGACUCCGCCCACCA